CCCCGGGAAAGCCCUCGCUGGAGUGUGCUCCCCGGGAGCCCUUCAAGAGCAACGCACCCUGGUAAGGAAUGGGUUAAGCUCAAGGGCGAGAGGAUGAAGGAUGCCGAGGAAAGGGGCCAUGUGUGCUGAGGUCCAGAGAUAUGAGCAGGGACGUCUCCAAAACAUAGGCUCUGGACCAGGAACACUGAUAGACUGGCCUCUUCCUCCAGAGGAGAGGUCGGGCUCAGGAAAUAUCCAUCCCCAAAACGACAGAGCAGGGACAGUUCCCAGCCCAGAGGGACAGGCUCGGUCGGAGUUGAGGAUGCCAUUGUGGAGAAGGAGAUGCAUGUGGACAGAGAAUGGCUCUGGAGCUGUGGAGCCUGGUGCAGGAUCUGACUCAGAGACACUCCAUAAACCUUUCUCAAAGAAUAUAUGAAUGCGGCGUGAAAGUGAAGCUGCUGUUUCUGCAGCACAAGGCUGUGGUGAGGAGUCCAUGAAGAGGGGCCCACCAGGCCUCAGGGGCCACUCAUGCCAGGAAGGGGCAGUCAUCCUAGGAGGAGUGGUGCUAUCAGAAGCUACCUCAGGAGAAGAAGCUGAGGCAGGCUGUCCCUGGAGGGCAAGGUCCAGUGCCGGAGACACAAGGUUCAUCAGGGACUUUGCACUUGCCAGACAAGCACUGUGCCGCUAAGCUACAUCCUUGGCCCUUCAUCCAGAGUCAUCUGCUCUCUGCCAGGCACUGUCCUUGAUGCUGAAGACUCAAGGCCGCUUCACUACAGCCCAGUCCUAAGCAUCCGCCCAUCUCCCAGCAGCCCAGCCAGGUCUCCACUGUUGACCACGACAAGGUCAACAACAAGGUGUCCACCUAGCCUCAUGGGCGCAGGAGGCCUUGCUCUCCCCAAGCUCAAGGUGGCUGCAGUCAGUUCCCACCAGGUGACAGUGAUUGCCUUAGCAGCUGGUGGGCGCUCCCUGCCCCGGAGGCCGCCCACCUUGGGUGGGACACAAGGCAGCAGACAAUGGGAAGGAAUGAGAAUUCGUGAGGCCAGCAAGGGUGGCUGGUGAG